rnacentral:rRNA from 1 species
UACAGAGGUGGCAAGCGUUGUUCGGAAUUACUGGGCGUAAAGGGCGCGUAGGCGGUCUUCCAAGUCAGACGUGAAAUCCCCCGGCUUAACCUGGGAACUGCGUCUGAUACUGGGAGGCUUGAGUAUGGGAGAGGGAUGUAGAAUUCCAGGUGUAGCGGUGAAAUGCGUAGAUAUCUGGAGGAAUACCGGUGGCGAAGGCGGCAUCCUGGACCAUAACUGACGCUGAGGCGCGAAAGCUAGGGGAGCAAACGGG